rnacentral:lncRNA from 1 species
AUUUUUUACCAGCGUUUUAGGGUAUCAUGAGGUAUGGUUUGAGCCCGCUUGCAGAAAAAUCUCCGCAGUCCCAAAUUGUGCCAAAAAACGGUCGUUUGUGGGGUCGCUAUUUCUACUUUUAACUCUGUUUUUCCUUCUGAAUUUUUUGGUAGAACCGCCAUCCUGACCAAUUGGUAAAAUUUGGAUUCCUCUGUUAAAUGCAAGUGGGAUGCCAUGGAGUAAAUUCUAAAUGAGCUAUUUUUGGGAUAGAGCAUUGUGAUCUAUCUUGAUUAUUGAUUAUACUCUGUACAUAUUUCUUUCUGCAAUUAAGUGAUGAAUGAAAUGAGAUUUUAAGAAUAAAUUGAUGAGAACCAUGUGGUUAAGUUAAGAAAAGAAACCUAAUAGUUUUAUUUGAACCAGAACAUUGAGUUUUUGAUUAAUUGAGAAAAAGUAGUGAGGCCAAAUAUCAAAUGAAGAGACGUCGACCACUCCUAAAAAAAGAUAAAGGAAAAAAAAUUAGUUUUUUCGUACUUGCAGAUUUAGUAUAGGUAUAUUUUGACUCAUUUUUUUCUCCGCAGCCACACAAGAUAAAAUAAGAUAUUUUAAUUCAUCUCAUUGUUUACGCUUUUGGUUGAAUCAUUUUUCAGACUGUGAAAACACAUCAACUGGAACCAUAUCUCCAAACCAGGGAAACUCAAAGGAAUGUGCACUCCCAAAGACUGGCCAGUUUUAGAUCCUUACCAACGAAUCAAACAACUAGAGCUGAAUAUAAAGUCCUUGCAGGCGCAACACUUAAUUAUGCUGACAAGUCUCCAUGAUGAAAUUGAGUUGCUUCGGCAGCAAAAUAAAGAGUUGCAAUUCCAGUUAGUUUUUAAGAGUAACUCAAGUGCCGAAACUUUCAAUCUCAUGGCAACAAAAUGUUCCUCAAAUUUCAGUUCAGUGGUAAGCGAGAGCCAUUUGACGAGUGCAGACAGUGAAAGGAAAAAAAAGGAGUCUUGUGAACUUAAAUUAUUGAGGACUAUGGAUUUGUUGGAAGAAGCCAACAUUAAAAACUCGAGUCUUACUGCCAUUAUGAAGAUCAAAAGUUACAGAUUGCUCAUUUAA